AAGGAUCAUUACAAGUGAGGCUACCGAACGCUGGAAACAGCGGUUAGGAGCUUACACCCACCCGUGUUUACAUACUAUUGUUGCUUUGGCGGGCCGUGGCCUCCACUGCGGGCUCUGCUCGUGUGUGCCCGCCAGAGGACCAAACUCUGAAUGUUAGUGAUGUCUGAGUACUAUCUAAUAGUUAAAACUUUCAACAACGGAUCUCUUGGUUCUGGCAUCGAUGAAGAACGCAGCGAAAUGCGAUAAGUAAUGUGAAUUGCAGAAUUCAGUGAAUCAUCGAAUCUUUGAACGCACAUUGCGCCCUGUGGUAUUCCGCAGGGCAUGCCUGUUCGAGCGUCAUUUAACCACUCAAGCUUAGCUUGGUAUUGGGGCACGCGGUCUCGCGGCCCUCAAAAUUAGUGGCGGCGCCGGUGGGCUCUAAGCGUAGUACAUACUCCCGCUAUAGAGUUCCCCCGGUAGCUCGCCAGAACCCCCAAUUUUUUACAGGUUGACCUCGGAUCAGGUAGGGAUACCCGCUGAACUUAA
rnacentral:misc_RNA from 1 species